UACGAAGGGGGCGAGCGUUGUUCGGAUUUACUGGGCGUAAAGGGCGCGUAGGUGGCGUCGUAAGUCUGUGGUGAAAGCCCGGAGCUCAACUCCGGGUCUGCCGCGGAUCACUGCGAGGCUUGAGUGCUGUAGAGGGGGUAGAAUGCCGGGUGUAGGCGGUGGAAUGCGUAGAGAUCCGGCAGAAGACCGGUGGCGAAGGCGGCCCCCUGGGCAGUAACUGACACUCGAGGCGCGACAGCGUGGGGAGCAAACAGG
rnacentral:rRNA from 1 species